AGAACGAACGCUGGCGGCAGGCCUCAAACAUGCAAGUCUAGGGGGUGUAGCAAUACAUCACCGGCGGACGGGUGCGUAACACGUGGGAAUAUACCUUUUGGUUCGGAACAACGCAGGGAAACUUGCGCUAAUACCGAAUGUGCCCUUACGGGGAAAGAUUUAUCGCCAAAGGAUUAGCCCGCGUAGGAUUAGCUAGUUGGUGAGGUAAUGGCUCACCAAGGCUCCGAUCCUUAGCUGUUCUGAGAGGAAGAUCAGCCACACUGGGACUGAGACACGGCCCAGACUCCUACGGGAGGCAGCAGUUGGGAAUCUUGGACAAUGGGGGAAACCCUGAUCCAGCCAUGCCGCGUGAGUGGUGAAGGCCUUCGGGUUGUAAAACUCUUUCGACGGGGACGAUAAUGACGGUACCCGUAGAAGAAGCUCCGGCUAACUUCGUGCCAGCAGCCGC
rnacentral:rRNA from 1 species